rnacentral:lncRNA from 10 species
CUCAAAAAGUUUUAAAAUUAGCUGGGUAUGGUGGGAGCUACUUCCGGGGCUGGGGAGAAACGGGGAGGAUCACUUGAGCCCAGGAGUUCGAGGCUACAGUGAAUGAUGAUUGUGCCACUGCACUCCAGCCUGGGCGACAGAGCAAGACCCUGUCUCUAAAAAAAUAAGAAGGGCAUCAGCAAGAGGGCAACAGCAGAGCAUUAAACCAGGUGUGGGGCUCCUUGGAGUUUGAGACCCUGUGUGACUGGACGGGUCACAGUCCCAUGCCAUCAGCCUGAACACGUGCAUGUAAGAACACACUCUCCUCUCACUCACUCUCCACAGGGCUGCCCAGAGACCUCCCAGGAGGCACAGGCGUCGACUAUUCAAAGCAUUGUGGCUUCCAGUUCUGCACUGUGGUGAUGGAGGUCCCGGGGGUGGCCUACUAAAUACUAAAGUGGCACCGGUGCUGCGCUGGGAGGAGCUGAGAAGGCAGCCCUGGAUGGCUGGUGGAGGGGCUCUAAGCCCCAGCCCUGUUGCCCUCCCCACUUUGUCCUCACCCAGGGAGACACCUCUUGUUUGGGGUAAAGGUGGAUGAAGGAUCAAUUCUAUGACCAGAGCAGUGCCAGCCAGGAGAAGACUGCCCUGCCUCGCCGUGGGGGGGUCAGGUUAUGCUCCAGAGCAGCUUUCUGGCUUUUGGCUGAGCUGGUGCCCAAGAGGGACAGGAAGCCUCCUUUCUGGGGGGUGGGGGUUUAUGCCCAGAGAUGACCGGCUGGGAUGUGGGGUAGCUGGUGCCCAAACACAAACGCCUGUAGCUGGAGGCCCACAGUCAGGUGGGGGUCCCGCCCAGGGACAUUCCUUCUUGGGGUGUGGGAUAAGUGCAGGGCCUGAGCUCUAAGCCUUAGUCAGGGGUGAGAAGGUGCUGGAAUCAAUUCUUCCUCUGGCCCAGACCCUGGAAGGGUUGACAAAUGUAGGUGGCAGUACCCAGGGUGAAUAGGCUGGCAGUGUGCAUGGGCAUGUGAGCAGUGUGCUUGGGCGCGGGCAUCAGGACAGGUGAGUCUGGGCCUCCUGUGUGCCAGCCGGCAGGAGUGGAAAGUGCUUUCGUCCUAGCACAGGUGUGUGAGCACAGGUCAUACUGUGUGAGUGGGGCCUGGUUACAGCUGCAGAGUUCUGAGAGUCAGCUGGCUUUGGGGACACUCUGCUUUGAGCCAGACGCACGCCAGGCCUCAGCCCAGGGGUUCAUCUAUGGGGCCCAGCAGGGGCUCAUUGGAGGGGAUCGUAUAAAGGUCCCUUUCCCUGGGGACUUCCCCUCAUCCUCCUUAGCCUACUUCCACCAGUCUCUGGCUUAUGGGGC